AUCGCUUCUCGGCCUUUGGCUAAGAUCAAGUGUGUAGUAUCUGUUCUUACUAGUUUAUCUGAUAUGUCCUCUAUAUGAGGACUACAUAUUAAGCAGAUUUUGCAUGAGGGGCAGUAAUUUGAGCUAGUUCCUUUCUCUCCACGCAUCGACUCAGCAUUGCAGUGCAGCCGCUGGGAACGGUGCACUCUGU